UUUAAUCUUUGGAAAUUCAAUUUUCUUUAUACUGGAGGUAUGGGAUCCUGGGCAUCCUGGCCAAAGGCAAACCCAGUUUUAGGACACGCACCGCUAGACUGGGAGACACUUUCCAUGGCCAGGGGCAAGCCGAAACUUGGUCUCCCGACUGGCGUCUCAUCAAUGGCCAAAUUCUGUUUGCCUGGCUCAACUGUUGCCCUGAAUUUCAAUUUGUUAUUCGGAGCCCCGCGUGUGUGCACACUGAUAUGUGGGUUGUCGGUUGCUGCAGGAAUAUUCCUCAUCCUUGCAAUUCGCUUCAAUUAGCCAAUUGCUGAUGGUCCUUCUUCUGCGGCUGCUGCCAAUUGGUGGGCAUUGUCGAUGGCUUUUAAUUAAUUCAAGGCAAAUACUGAGCCCAGAGCCAGGCGGUUGUAAAGUUUUCGGCGCGAGGAAUUCUUACGCAAGCUGGUCCUAAAAUAACAAACAACCUGAAAAUCUAUUUCCAAGAUAAAA
rnacentral:sRNA from 1 species